UACGUAGGGGGCAAGCGUUGUCCGGAUUUAUUGGGCGUAAAGAGCGUGUAGGCGGCUAGGUAGGUCCGUUGUGAAAACUCGAGGCUCAACCUCGAGACGCCGAUGGAAACCAUCUAGCUAGAGUCCGGAAGAGGAGAGUGGAAUUCCGUGGUGUAGCGGUGAAAUGCGCAGAUAUCAGGAAGAACACCGGUGGCGAAAGCGCUCUGCUAGGCCGCAACUGACACUGAGGGACGAAAGCUAGGGGAGCGAAUGGG
rnacentral:rRNA from 1 species